UAUUUCAAUGGCUAGGAGAAAGGGCUUAUUCCUUAGAUGAACAUGGAAGCACAACUAGCCACAAUAUCCAUAAAAAAGGUUUAUGGGUUUUAAUUGGAGGGUUAGCGACAGCUUUGAUAAUAGUAGUCAUUUCUACAUGGAUCUGCUACAGAAAGAGGAAAGAACAGAUCAUUCCUGCUAGGAAAAAUGGUAGAUUUUUCUGCUUAAUAAUUCAACCAAGCUAAGAACAGAUU